rnacentral:rRNA from 1 species
GACGAACCGUGCGAACGUUAUUCGGAAUCACUGGGCUUAAAGCGCGUGUAGGCGGGACGGCACGUCGGUCGCUGAAAGCCCCCGGCUCAACCGGGGAACGGGCGCCGAUACGACCGUCCUGGAGGGACGUAGGGGACCUGGAACUUCCGGUGGAGCGGUGAAAUGCGUUGAGAUCGGAAGGAACGCCCGUGGCGAAAGCGAGGCUCCUGGACGUUUCUGACGCUGAGACGCGAAAGCCAGGGGAGCGAACGG